rnacentral:rRNA from 1 species
UACGGGGGGGGCAAGCGUUGUUCGGAAUUACUGGGCGUAAAGGGCUCGUAGGUUGCCAACUAAGUCAGACGUGAAAUCCCUCGGCUUAACCGGGGAACUGCGUCUGAUACUGGAUGGCUUGAGUUCGGGAGAGGGAUGCGGAAUUCCUGGUGUAGCGGUGAAAUGCGCAGAUAUCAGGAGGAACACCGGUGGCGAAGGCGGGUCUCUGGGCAGUAACUGACGCUGAGGAGCGAAAGCGUGGGGAGCGAACAGG